rnacentral:rRNA from 1 species
CCUACGGGUGGCAGCAGUGGGGAAUAUUGGGCAAUGGGCGCAAGCCUGACCCAGCAACGCCGCGUGAAGGAAGAAGGCCUUCGGGUUGUAAACUUCUUUUGUCAGGGACGAAGCAAGUGACGGUACCUGACGAAUAAGCCACGGCUAACUACGUGCCAGCAGCCGCGGUAAUACGUAGGUGGCAAGCGUUAUCCGGAUUUACUGGGCGUAAAGGGCGUGUAGGCGGGGAGGUAAGUUAGAUGUGAAAACCACGGGCUCAACCUGUGGCCUGCAUUUGAGACUGUUUGACUUGAGUGCUAGAGGGGCAAUCGGAAUUCCGAGUGUAGCGGUGGAAUGCGUAGAUAUACGGAGGAACACCAGUGGCGAAGGCGGAUUGCUGGACAAUAACUGACGCUGAGGCGCGAAAGCGUGGGGAGCAAACAGGAUUAGAUACCCCAGUAGUC